UGUGUACUCCCUCCUUUCCAAAAUACUUGACUUCCAUUUGUCCAAAAAUGGAUGUACCUAUAUACUAAAACAUGUCUAGAUACAUAUAUAUUUUGACAAAUAGAAGGCAUGUAUUGUGCAACGGAGGGAGUAGAAC
rnacentral:pre_miRNA from 1 species